rnacentral:rRNA from 1 species
GAUGAACGCUAGCUACAGGCUUAACACAUGCAAGUCGAGGGACCGGCGUACGGGUGAGUAACACGUAUCCAACCUGCCCUUUACUCGGGGAUAGCCUUUCGAAAGAAAGAUUAAUACCCGAUGUAAAGGAUGGGGAUGCGUUCCAUUAGGUUGUUGGUGAGGUAACGGUUCACAAAGCAUUCGAUGGAUAGGGGUUCGGAGAGGGAGGUCCCCCGCAUUGGAACUGAGACAAGGUCCAAACUCCUACUGGAGGCGGCAGUGAUGAAUAUUGGUCAAUGGGCGUUAGCCUGAACCAGCCAAGUAGCGUGAAGGAUGAAGGCUUAUGGGUCGUAAACUUCUUUUAUAUAAGAAUAUGUAUUAUAUGAAUAAGGAUCGGCUAACUCCGUGCCAGCCGCCGCGGUAAUUC